UCUUGCUUCUUAAACAGCAAAUUUUUAUCCUCCCAAAAAUAUUUUCUAUCUUAAAAAAAUAUGUGUUUUUAAUUUCGAGACUUAAAAUUUCGAUAGGUCAGAAAUUCAACAUAAAAAAAUUCGGAGUGAAAAACUUCGCCCAAACAGUGUCACCAGAGCAAGUGGUCGAUCCAGGAACACAUCGAUAUCUAGCCAAUCAAAUCCUGACACUGACGUGACGUCAGCGUUUGUUUUGGUCUCUUGAGCUGUGUCUGAAUUCCUUCCGAUGCCGCCGCCUUCGCGGUCGCCGACGGCCGGGUCCUUCAUAGAGCAGGAAGAUCUAUGUUAAGGGCUUUAAAUUUGUACGGUCUAGCCUUGUUUUAUUAUUUUUUUUAAUCAUUUAAUUGAACAAAAUACAAGUUGGUGUAGCUUUGCUGGCUAAUUUCCUGUAGCUUAGCCACCGUGCGUUGAACGUGUGAAGCGCAAAGCUGCAAAUGUUUCUGAGUUAUUUGAUUCAACUUUUACUUUUGGAGGAGUUGGAGCAGAUCAUUCGAUCCAUGGCUGUCGCAGGAACUUGCUAUUAUCCCGGCUGAGACAAAACGAUAUGCAGACUACACUCUGUAAUGCAGAAUCAACCUGAGUCUCCUGGAGCGGUUUAUUAACAGAACAGGAACAGGAACAGGAACUCUCCUGCAGUCCUCCUGAACCUCCAUUGGUGACGUCUGUGGGGUGAUGUAACUGAGAUCCUGGUGUUUCUCUUCUGGUUGGCGAGCGGAGUAUCCUACAGGAUGAUCUCAAGAGUGUUUGGAUCUCUCGUUCCACUGUCCACUGCAUCAUCCACAGUCACUGAGGAGGUGGUGGCCAUUCGCCUUAAGAACCUUCACCUUCCAAAAACCCCUGAGGACCUGGAGGUGGAGUCCUGUGGGUUUGCAGGGCUGGAACAGCACAGAGUUUUUCCUCAAAGCUGCAGGUGCCAUCGAUGGAUGCCACAUCAGGAUCAAACCUCCUGGUGACCCUGGCAUCAUUCCAAAAGCGCCCUCGAUUAUAGAGCGUGCUUUGGAAUGAUGAAGACAAGAUUCAGAGGCAUCUUCCUUCAAGUGCUGGAGGUUGUCUCAGCUUGGGCCAUCCUCCACAAUAUCUGCUCCUGUGCUGACGACACCGAGGCCCCAGAGGACGAUGUGGAGGUGAUGAUGAGGAGGAAGCUGGUGUGAAGGUCACCAGCGGUGCUCUCUGGCAGGACCAACUACCUGCUGAGGUUUCUGCCCUGCGGGAGGUACCACCUGACCUUGAUUACUUUUAACAGCAUCCGUCCACAGCCAACCCUGUAAACCCUGAAGAUGGACGAUGCAGUCUACGGUGAAGAUGAUCCUGAAACUCUGCAGACCAUCCUGCAAGAUGUCCCAAUCACCACCCAGAAAGUUCCAUCCCCGUGUCUCAGUUGAAGCAUCUCAUCCAUGUCGACCAUCUUUGUAAAUAGUGUUACAAUGAAUGACGAUUACUGUGUUGGAUUUAUACCUUUAUUUAUAUUAAAAAAACAAACAUUUUAAUGAAUCAAAUAUAAACUUCAUUUAUUGUCAGAAAUCAAAUGUGGUUAUUUGUUGGCAUUUCUUUCCAGGAGACUAUAAAGUUGGUCAAAAGUCUCCCUCCUCUCUCGUGCGCUCUGCUCUUCUGCCUCAUGUCCUCUCUGAUCAGGUCUAGAAGCUCAUCACUAGUCGCGUUUCCAUUAACUCUGAAAUUUCGCAAAUUGGAAUUUUGAUACAUUCUCCUAAUGGAAACCACAAUUCCGAAAAAAAAAACAAAAAAAAACGUUUUUGCCCUUAGAGGGGGUGGUAUU